AAACGGCAAAAUAUUUAUUUACAAUAUAUGUGUUUCCAGGGGAAGAGCCUGUUACAAAGUCUGUGUCUAAAAAAAAGUAAACUCGCUCCUUGUCGGACAAAACUGAAUGUAAUUAAGUUAACUACCUAUGUACAUUAUCAGUGGAGUACUUGAAUUAAUAUCAAAUUGUAACCCGAGAUGCUGGUGCCACACCUUAUUACGUGACCACCCAGUGAGGCGUGAACACUCAGGGGCAUGAUAUACACCCUUGUGUUUGAUUUGAUAUACCAAUCAGCCGUGGACGCCCGACCAUAAAAAUGGUAUAUAUAGAUUUAACCCUAAUCAGGUAUCGUUAAAUAUCGUUAAAUCGUCGAGAACGUUCUGUCAGACGAUCAAACGAUAACUAUUCAACAAGUCGGUAAAUCACAUCGAAAACCCAAGUUCUGGUCGCAGUGAGAAGCUCUGGAUGCCUUGAGGAGGGUUCACCAGCUCUGCUUCAACAACGUUGACAUGGGACCAGUAAAGCUGCAAGACUUUGUCGGCCAGUCAAAAGUGGACGCUGCAAUCCAAGGUGAAACUUUCUUUCUCAUGGUGGGGCACACGCAUGAAGAUUUGGAUCAACUGUUAAGUGUUUAGUGCAAGGGAACUUAGACAGAAGCCUGCAACAACCCGCGAUGCCCUCCUUCAAGAUUGGGGACAUCCGGACACCCACCACCAAGCUAUCAGACUUCAAGCCCUUCAUGCCUGCCCCAAGGGAAGCGACAACCCUCCCAACUAAAGUUCAAGAGGCAAUAGAGAAGAACAAUGAAAAACUGCAAAAACAAUCAAAGAUCACUCUGACAAAGCACCGAAGACAAGCGUCAGUAUCAGAACAAUAAAGAAG